AGGAUUAGAUACCCCGGUAGUCCACGCCGUAAACGAUGGAUACUCGCUGCGGGCUAAAGAUUGUCCGUGGCUUAGCGAAAGCGAUAAGUAUCCCACCUGGGGAGUACGCCGGCAACGGUGAAACUCAAAGGAAUUGACGGGGGCCCGCACAAGUGGUGGAGCAUGUGGUUUAAUUCGAUGAUACGCGAGGAACCUUACCUAGGCUAGAAUGCGCGUGACCGGCUCAGAGAUGAGCCUUUCCUUCGGGACACAAAGCAAGGUGCUGCAUGGCCGUCGUCAGCUCGUGCCGUGAGGUGUUGGGUUAAGUCCCGCAACGAGCGCAACCCCUAUGGUUAGUUGCCAGCACGUAAUGGUGGGGACUCUAGCCAGACUGCCCGCGCAAGCAGUGAGGAAGGCGGGGACGACGUCAGGUCAUCAUGGCCCUUACGCCUAGGGCGACACACGUGCUACAAUGGACGGUACAGCGGGUAGCUACCAGGCGACUGGAUGCCAAUCUCGAAAAGCCGUUCUCAGUUCGGAUUGGAGUCUGCAACUCGACUCCAUGAAGCUGGAAUCACUAGUAAUCGCGCAUCAGCCAUGGCGCGGUGAAUACGUUCCCGGGCCUUGUACACACCGCCCGUCAAGCCAUGAAAGUCUGGUAGACCUGAAGCUGGUGCUCGUCACAGAAGCCAGUUAGGGUAGAACAGGUAA
rnacentral:rRNA from 1 species